ACAGCAGUAGCCGCGGUAAUACAGAGGGUGCGAGCGUUAAUCGGAUUUACUGGGCGUAAAGCGUGCGUAGGCGGCUUCUUAAGUCGGAUGUGAAAUCCCUGAGCUUAACUUAGGAAUUGCAUUCGAUACUGGGAAGCUAGAGUAUGGGAGAGGAUGGUAGAAUUCCAGGUGUAGCGGUGAAAUGCGUAGAGAUCUGGAGGAAUACCGAUGGCGAAGGCAGCCAUCUGGCCUAAUACUGACGCUGAGGUACGAAAGCAUGGGGGGCAAACAGGAUUAGAUACCCGGGUAGUCCCUGUCUCUUAUAA
rnacentral:rRNA from 1 species